rnacentral:rRNA from 1 species
CAAUCCCUUUCCGAACUUGGAAGUCAAACCUAUCGUCGCUGUUGUGCUACUAAGAUGCGAGAGCUCUUGGGAAGCAACAGUGCUGGCAUUU